rnacentral:rRNA from 1 species
GAUGAACGCUGGCGGCGUGCCUAAUACAUGCAAGUCGAGCGAACAGACGAGGAGCUUGCUCCUCUGACGUUAGCGGCGGACGGGUGAGUAACACGUGGAUAACCUACCUAUAAGACUGGGAUAACUUCGGGAAACCGGAGCUAAUACCGGAUAAUAUAUUGAACCGCAUGGUUCAAUAGUGAAAGACGGUUUUGCUGUCACUUAUAGAUGGAUCCGCGCCGCAUUAGCUAGUUGGUAAGGUAACGGCUUACCAAGGCAACGAUGCGUAGCCGAUCUGAGAGGGUGAUCGGCCACACUGGAACUGAGACACGGUCCAGACUCCUACGGGAGGCAGCAGUUGGGAAUCUUCCGCAAUGGGCGAAAGCCUGACGGAGCAACGCCGCGUGAGUGAUGAAGGUCUUCGGAUCGUAAAACUCUGUUAUUAGGGAAGAACAAAUGUGUAAGUAACUAUGCACGUCUUGACGGUACCUAAUCAGAAAGCCACGGCUAACUACGU